rnacentral:rRNA from 1 species
GGGAGCCUAUACAGGUGUUGCAUGGCUGUCGUCAGCUCGUGUCGUGAGAUGUUCGGUUAAGUCCGCUAACGAGCGCAACCUCGUCGUAUGUUAUAUGUGUCAUACGAGACUGCCGGUAAAAAGCCGGAGGAAGGUGAGGAUGAUGUCAAGUCAGCAUGACCUUUAUAUCCAGGGCUACACACACGCUACAAUGGUCUGUACAAUGGGUAGCCAAGCCGCGAGGCGGAGCCAAUCCUGAAAGCAGGCCUCAGUUCAGAUUGCAGUCUGCAACUCGACUGCAUGAAGCCGGAGUUGCUAGUAACCGCAGGUCAGCAAUACUGCGGUGAAUACGUUCCCGGGUCUU